rnacentral:rRNA from 1 species
AACGAACGCUGGCGGCAUGCCUAACACAUGCAAGUCGAACGAGACCUUCGGGUCUAGUGGCGCACGGGUGCGUAACGCGUGGGAACCUGCCCUUAGGUUCGGAAUAACUCCCCGAAAGGGGUGCUAAUACCGGAUAAUGUCUUCGGACCAAAGAUUUAUCGCCUUUGGAUGGGCCCGCGUUGGAUUAGCUAGUUGGUAGGGUAAAAGCCUACCAAGGCGACGAUCCAUAGCUGGUCUGAGAGGAUGAUCAGCCACACUGGGACUGAGACACGGCCCAGACUCCUCCGGAGGGAGGAGUUGGGGAAUAUGGGACAUGGGGCGAAAGCCUGACCAGGCAAGGCGGGGGGAGUGAUGAGGGCCUUAGGUUGGUAAAGCUCUUUUACCGGGAUGAUAAUGACAGUACCGGGAGAAUAAGCUCCGGCUAACUCCGUG